CAUUUAUGUAAGAUCUGUGGAUCUUUAUAAACUAAUGCGUGUUCAGGGUGUUCAACGUCGAGAAGUUCUCCAGCUCGUCCUACAGAGAACCCCUAUCUUCAAGCAACUAAUCCUACAAAUCUCUACAAAUACAUUGAAUCUACCAUUAUUUAUCUUACCAUUCAAACUACCAAUCUAAGAUUUUUAUGUAAACCUUUUCUAAAGCCUAUUUUAUAUUCUCGAAAUUGAGUCUAAUUUUCUAAUAUCAUACAUAUCUUUAAAUAGAACUGUCAAUAAGUUUUAAAAAUGCUUGAAAGUCUAGCCACUUUAGUUUUAAUAAUUGGUCUUGUCUUUCAGACCAAGAUGGGUUAGUUGUACUUUUCUAACUUGUUUUCGUCCUCUUUCUCCAGAUUUGUUGUGAUAAUUGUAAUUCUUCCCUCAAAAGCUCCGUGCAUGCCUCCACGCACUGAACCAGGCUGGCUUUGAGUUCCUGUUGAUCUAGAGCUUUAUCCUCUCCGCUGACUCGCGGAGCUAAACCUAUUUGCAUCCUUGGUCUCAGGGAUGAAGAUGCUCUACUCUCCUUUCACCUACUAAUCUUGACACCCUGUGCCUUGGGUAGGUCAUGAGUUCUCUGCGUAUACAAGACUCCAGUCUCAACGGAGUCCGAGUGCUCCUGUGUCUUUGGACACUUGGUUGAGUUCUCUACAAACAAGACUCCGAUCUCAACAGAGUCCGAGUGUUCCUGUGUCUUUGGACGCUUGGUUUGAGUUCUCUACGUAUACAAGACUCCGAUCUCAACGGAGUCCGAGUGUUCCUGUGUCUUUGGACGCUUGGUUUGAGUUCUCUACGUUUCCUCUGAUAGUAUCCUAGAGACGUCUCCAUCCCUACGUACCAGACCUCCUACAACCUUGGCUUGGCUGUUCUCACUUCUCCGGCAUCUCCGAUAGAAGGAAUCUAUCCUCUCCGACAUCUCUGACAGAAGGACCUCACUCUGUAUCCCUGAUCAAAGCUCCUCUAGAUCAAAUGCAGUUCUUGUAAUCGAGACUGUGGUGCAUUCUAAACACUAUAGGCUACAAACCUCCGGACAAAUCAACAUUGUAAGUGAAUUUUUCUAUUUAUUUAAAAUUAAACAUUUGUUAUAUAAAAUUGAAUGUUUUACCUGGAGAAAGUUUUAUUUUUAUUUUAUUUUAUCGUAAAAUUAAUUAACCCUGGACUGAUUUGUUGUGUUUUAGUUCACGGUUGA